rnacentral:rRNA from 1 species
CAGUAGCCGCGGUAAUACGAAGGGGGCUAGCGUUGCUCGGAAUUACUGGGCGUAAAGCGUGCGCAGGCGGUUGUGUAAGACAGGUGUGAAAUCCCCGGGCUUAACCUGGGAACUGCGCUUGUGACUGCACAGCUAGAGUAUGGCAGAGGGGGGUGGAAUUCCACGUGUAGCAGUGAAAUGCGUAGAGAUGUGGAGGAACACCGAUGGCGAAGGCAGCCCCCUGGGCCAGUACUGACGCUCAUGCACGAAGGCGUGGGGAGCAAACAGGAUUAGAGACCCCAGUAGUCCCUGUCUCUUAUAC